rnacentral:lncRNA from 1 species
GCAUAGUGGCUCACGCUUGUAAUCCCAGCACUUUGGGAGGCCGAGGAGGGUGGAUCCAGGAGUUCGAGACCAACCUGGGCAACAUCAUGAGACCUCAUCUCUACCAAAAAUAAAAAAAAACUAGCUGGGCAUGGUGGCACGUGCCUGUAGUCCCAACUAUUUGGGAGGCUGAGACAGUGGAAUCAAUAGAGCCCAGGAGUUCAAGGCAGCAGUGAGCUGUGAUCAGGCCACUGCACUUCAGCCUGGGCAAUGGGAAUAAGACACUGUCUCAAAAAAAAAAAAAAGAAAAAAAGAUUGGGGGCCCUUCAAAGUCACCCAAGCUGGGCUAAAACCAUGGAUUCCGGGGCAGGUUACAUCAUCUUUCUAAACCUCACUUUCCUCAUCUGAGAAAUGGGAUAAUAACAGUCCAAAUGUGACAAUGGGUGUAAUGCUUUGGCAUGCUGCCCGGCAAUUAAGCCCUUAGCUACUAUUCUCUCUAAUGUAUGUUUACUGGCUGCCCACUUGGUCCUAAGCACCUGUCCCUCUUGGGCAGGAGUGGGCUGAUUCUCCAGCUGAGGAGUCCUGGGCUGGGGUCAAGGGUCUCCAUUUGAGGAUCCUUGGCUUAUAGACCAUCUGGUCCAUGGCUGACACACAUACCACACUAGAAUGACCAGCUGCCCCCAGGAAAGCGAGCCUGGGUCCUGGCAGAGUGGGUGGGUGGAAGACAAGCUGUCUCAAAGCUCAGAAAUGAGCACGUCCUAAUGCCUCUGAGCUUGGCAGUCACCUUUGGGAAGCUGAUACCCACCUUCAGGGCCAGACACCCAGUCCCAAGUCCUGGCCUGAGGGCCAGGGGAAGCUCUGGUCUUGCCAGCAUCCCAAGCAGUCGCUUUGUGCCUGAACAGAGCUUCCUUUGUGUGGUGGCAGCAGCAGAUAACUGCUCCUGGGUGGCAGGUUACUCACUGAAGUGCAAUCCCUGAUUUACUAACUGGAGCAAUUGCUAGGCUGUGCCAGCAAGGCUACCGUGUUGGCCUCCAGGGGCAGGUGCCACAAGGGCUGUCACUGUAUCCUGGGGAGGACCCCAGAGCCUCUAUUCCAAGAUGUCCAAGCUACAUCCAUUGACCCCAUAGUGGGGUUUGGAACUUCAAGAAGGGGCUGGGCGCGGUGGCUCAUGCCUGUAAUCCCAGCACUUUGGGAGGCUGAGGCAGGUGGAUCAUUUGAGGUCAGGAGUUCAAGACCAGCCUGGCCAACACAGUGAAACCCCGUCUCCACUAAAACAUACAAAAAUUAGCCGGGCAGUAGUGGCACAUGCCUAUAAUCCCAGGUACUUGGGAGGCUGAAGCAGGAGAAUUACUUGAGCCUGGAAGAUGGAGGUUGCAGUGAGCUGAGAUCGAGCCACUGCACUCCAGUCUGGGCAACAGAGUGAGACCUUGUCUCAAAAAACAAAACAAAAAAAAAAA